GACGAACGCUGGCGGCGUGCUUAACACAUGCAAGUCGAACGGAAAGGCCCUGCUUUUGUGGGGUGCUCGAGUGGCGAACGGGUGAGUAACACGUGAGUAACCUGCCCUUGACUUUGGGAUAACUUCAGGAAACUGGGGCUAAUACCGGAUAGGAGCUCCUGCUGCACGGUGGGGGUUGGAAAGUGUCGGCGGUGGGGGAUGGACUCGAGGCUUAUCAGCUUGUUGGUGGGGUAGUGGCUUACCAAGUCUAUGACGGGUAGCCGGCCUGAGAGGGUGACCGGCCACAUUGGGACUGAGAGACGGCCCAGACUCCUACGGGAGGCAGCAGUGGGGAAUAUUGCGCAAUGGGCGGAAGCCUGAUGCAGCAACGCCGCGUGCGGGAUGACGGCCUUCGGGGUGUAAACCGCUUUCGCCUGUGACGAAGCGUGAGUGACGGUAAUGGGUAAAGAAGCACCGGCUAACUACGUG
rnacentral:rRNA from 1 species